rnacentral:rRNA from 1 species
AAAGGAAUAGACGGGGGCCCGCACAAGCGGUGGAGCAUGUGGUUCAAUUCGAAGCAACGCGCAGAACCUUACCAGCUCUUGACAUGUCCCGUAUGGGUUCCAGAGAUGGGACCCUUCAGUUCGGCUGGCGGGAACACAGGUGCUGCAUGGCUGUCGUCAGCUCGUGUCGUGAGAUGUUGGGUUAAGUCCCGCAACGAGCGCAACCCUCGGCCUUAGUUGCCAUCAUUUAGUUGGGCACUCUAAGGCGACUGCCGGUGAUAAGCCGGAGGAAGGUGGGGAUGACGUCAAGUCCUCAUGGCCCUUACGGGCUGGGCUACACACGUGCUACAAUGGCGGUGACAGAGGGACGCAAAAGGGCAACCUUUCGCAAAUCUCGAAAAACCGUCUCAGUUCGGAUUGGGGUCUGCAACUCGACCCCAUGAAGUUGGAAUCGCUAGUAAUCGCGGAUCAGCACGCCGCGGUGAAUACGUUCCCGGGCCUUGCACACACCGCCCGU